rnacentral:rRNA from 1 species
GUCAAGUCGGAUGUGAAAUCCCCGGGCUCAACCUGGGAACUGCAUUCGAAACUGGCAGGCUUGAGUCUUGUAGAGGGGGGUAGAAUUCCAGGUGUAGCGGUGAAAUGCGUAGAGAUCUGGAGGAAUACCGGUGGCGAAGGCGGCCCCCUGGACAAAGACUGACGCUCAGGUGCGAAAGCGUGGGGAGCAAACAGGAUUAGAUACCCUGGUAGUCCACGCCGUAAACGAUGUCUACUUGGAGGUUGUGCCCUUGAGGCGUGGCUUCCGGAGCUAACGCGUUAAGUAGACCGCCUGGGGAGUACGGCCGCAAGGUUAAAACUCAAAUGAAUUGACGGGGGCCCGCACAAGCGGUGGAGCAUGUGGUUUAAUUCGAUGCAACGCGAAGAACCUUAC